CGGUCUGCACCCAGGCCAGGGCUCAGUGAGGAGCCGGAGUGUCCCGGCCUGCCUGGACUCCAGCCGGGACCUCCCACAUGAGGCUCAUUCAUCUAUGCCCAGGAUUCUCAAAGAACCCCGGCCCCAGCCUGCUCUCUGUCAUGUGCUGAGCCCCAAGCUUACCCAUGCCUCCUGCCGUGGGGACCAGAGAAUGAGAAGACCACCAGGGAGACCCGCCCUGGAGACCAUGGUGUGCUGCUGACUCACGCUGUGUUUGUCGGCCCCUCGGGCCUCAUGUUGUUGCUCUGGCACCCCAGGGGCUCAGGUGGAGCCACGGCCAGGACAGGCCUCACCAUUGGCAAGGGCACUCAAGCUCCCAGGUGGACUCCCAACCUAUCCAGGCACUACAGCCAAGGGUAAGAGCCCUGGACUGGGGCCGACCUGCUUCCAAUGACCCACCGUCCAACCUCGCCUUACCUUAUCCGUAGGAGCCAUUUGACAAGCUCUUGUUGAACAAAUGCUACACAUGAACACAUGGGCUGUGUCCUGAAGCUGGAUGUGCAGUCUUGAAGGAAUCCUACGCUUCAUGAAUGAGGAUUUGACAUCUGGCAGAGGUCUUUAUGAACACAUUUAUGAUCAUCCUUCAAAGCAACCACAUGAAAUGGGCCAGGGGCUUGUUCUCUUUUAGCAGACAGACGGGUUGAGUCACCACAAGAUGCUGUUAUGGUUUAA
rnacentral:lncRNA from 1 species